GCUGAAUCCCCUACGCGGUAUACGAAGGGCGCACUCACUAAACUUCCUCCGUCCCUUUUAUUCUCAGGGCCCACCCGGAAGGACGACUGAGCAAGGCCUUGGAAAACCAGAGAAAUUAGGGCGCAGAAUGGGGAAAUGGAGAGAGAACCGGAAAGAGCCCCAAACUCGAGGACCUGUUGCUCCCAAAGAAUAACAUCUUCCAGAACUAGACAGAAACCUAGGCGUUUGGGAGCCCUGAAAUCCUUGGAGGAGUAGCAUCAUCAUGACCCUCUGUGUUCCUUUUUGCAAAGGACUUGCUUCCAUUGUUUGUUUGUUCAAUUGUCUGUUAAAUAAAUAAAUAAAACCCUUUUCAUAUCUCUUUAAAAUUA